rnacentral:rRNA from 1 species
UACGGAAGGCAGCAGUGGGGAAUAUUGCACAAUGGGCGCAAGCCUGAUGCAGCCAUGCCGCGUGUAUGAAGAAGGCCUUCGGGUUGUAAAGUACUUUCAGUCGUGAGGAAGGUGUUAAGGUUAAUAACCUUAGCAAUUGACGUUAGCGACAGAAGAAGCACCGGCUAACUCCGUGCCAGCAGCCGCGGUAAUACGGAGGGUGCGAGCGUUAAUCGGAAUUACUGGGCGUAAAGGGCACGCAGGCGGUUAAUUAAGUUGGAUGUGAAAUCCCCGGGCUUAACCUGGGAAUGGCAUUCAAGACUGGUUAGCUAGAGUCUUGUAGAGGGGGUAGAAUUCCAUGUGUAGCGGUGAAAUGCGUAGAGAUGUGGAGGAAUACCGGGUGGCGAAGGCGGCCCCUGGGACAAAGACUGACGCUCAUGUGCGAAAGCGUGGGGAGCAAGCAGGAUUAGAUACC